GGAUGUGGCUCAAGUGGUAGCGCGCUCGCCUGGCAUGCGUGGGACGCUGGGUUCAAUCCUCAGCACCA
rnacentral:tRNA from 1 species